rnacentral:rRNA from 1 species
CAGCAGCCACGGUAAUACGUAGGGCGCAAGCGUUGUCCGGAAUUAUUGGGCGUAAAGAGCUCGUAGGCGGUCUGUCGCGUCUGGUGUGAAAUCCCGAGGCUCAACCUCGGGCUUGCAUCGGGUACGGGCAGACUAGAGUGCGGUAGGGGAGACUGGAAUUCCUGGUGUAGCGGUGGAAUGCGCAGAUAUCAGGAGGAACACCGAUGGCGAAGGCAGGUCUCUGGGCCGCAACUGACGCUGAGGAGCGAAAGCAUGGGGAGCAAACAGGAUUAGAUACCCCGGUAGUCCCUGUCUCUUAUAC